AUGUAUACUCUAAAUUAUAUAUUUUUACAUUUCUGUUUUAAUGUUUUUUAAUAGAAUAAUUUAUUUAUUUAAAAGAAGUUAAACACAUAUAAUAUUAUAGUAAUUGAAUAUGUUGUCAAGAAAAAAUAAAGAUACACGAACGAUAAAAGAAGGAGUGGUUGGAAAAUAUGUUAAAAAAGACAAGCCACCCGAAAUACCAAGUAUGUAAUAAUUUAUGAUUAUAAUAUAUAUGUAAUAUCUUUUAGAUUAUUGAGAGUACAUUCACCCAUUUUUAAAUAAGUACGCUUCCCUAUAUAUUGAUAUAUAUAUUUAAAAUUAUAGUAAUUAAAAUGAGUAAAGCCCGCCCCAUAUAUUAUGAUCUGACCUACUGACUAAAUUAUAUGGUGGCAAUUUGUACACACCAUAUUUUCAUCAAGCAUUUAUGUAUGUUAUAAAUAGAUGAGUAUACAUAUAUAUAUAAUAUAUAAAAUGAAGAUGAUAUUUAGUGCACUAAAUAUUAUAAUCUUCAAUAUUUGCACUACUUCCAAAUGUUAUAACUUUUAGCUAACACUAUAAUUAUAAUUAUACAGAUUAUUAUAUGUUAUAGAUUUGCUAUCUACUUAUGCAAAAUGCAAUAGUUUGGGGCAAUCAAUUUUUGAAGAUAGAAUGUUAGAUAAAAAAGACAUAUUUACAGAAUUUUAAUGAUCAGAAAGGCUUGCUAGAGAUAAAAAAUGAUUUAUGUUUUUAGGAAUUUAAAUAAAAUCCUUUAACUAUGACCAAUGCCUCAAGUAUAAUUUGCCUUAGUAGAAUCGCUAAUAUCUUACGGCAUUAUUAGAUGGGUGGGGGGUGCAUUUAACAAUACAAUAUCCCAACUACAAACUAGUCAAAAUAAAAUAUUUAAGUCCAAAGAUAUUCAACUAACGAUCUAUUUAUUUAACUCAAAGUACUAGCUGUAAAAAAAAUAUAUUUGAAAAUAACUACCAUUUAUAUAAAACUCAUAGUUUACUACGGCCCAUAUCACAUGAUAUAUUAACACUGAAUACCCUAAAAACAAUUUUCAAUAAAACAAUUUAAAAAAAUAACUGCUAGUAGACAUUUUGAUAUACUCUGUGCUAAAUUAUACAACACUAUACCACCUUACUCUAUGAAUCUCCCGACUAAUUGAUAAUAGAUUUUUAUAAUAUAUAUGUUAAAUAUUAAUUGUUUAAUUUAAUUUAAAAUUUAAAAUUAUUUUCUAUAUACAUAAUACUUUUUAAUUUUGUAAUUUCACUAUUAAUUAUUGUAUACUUAUGUACUUAUAGUGUUAUUUAAAACUCCUGGGUCACCAUAC